GGGAUGCAGCUCAGUGGUAGAGUGUUUACCUAACAUGCAUAAGGCCUUGGGGUUCAUACCCCAGCACCAUCA
rnacentral:tRNA from 1 species